AACGAACGCUGGCGGCAGGCCUAACACAUGCAAGUCGAACGCUGUAGCAAUACAGAGUGGCAGACGGGUGAGUAACGCGUGGGAAUCUUCCUAUCGGUACGGAAUAGCUCAGGGAAACUUGGGGUAAUACCGGAUGCGCCCUUCGGGGGAAAGAUUUAUCGCCGAUAGAUGAGCCCGCGUCUGAUUAGCUAGUUGGUGAGGUAAUGGCUCACCAAGGCGACGAUCAGUAGCUGGUCUGAGAGGAUGACCAGCCACACUGGGACUGAGACACGGCCCAGACUCCUACGGGAGGCAGCAGUGGGGAAUAUUGGACAAUGGGGGCAACCCUGAUCCAGCCAUGCCGCGUGAGUGACGAAGGUCUUCGGAUUGUAAAGCUCUUUUGGCGGGGACGAUAAUGACGGUACCCGCAGAAUAAGCCCCGGCUAACUUCGUGCCAACAGCCGCCGUAA
rnacentral:rRNA from 1 species